CGUCAUGGGGAAGAAAUAAAUCUGGAGUACAAGAUGAUGGAGCAGUAAAGACCCAAUGGGAGUCUGGGAGUUCUCAAAAGUGGAAAACUGAUGUUAUUCAAGAAAACUCCUCAAAGUCUGGCGCUUGGGAGGCCAACACAAAUAAAAACAGUGAUCAGCCUUCUUGGGGCAAAAAUAAAUCUGGAAUACAAGAUGAUGGAGCGGUAAAGACCCAAUGGGAGUCUGGGAGUUCUCAAAAGUGGAAAACUGAUGUUAUUCAAGAAGACUCCUCAAAAUCUGGCGCUUGGGAGGCCAACACAAAUAAAAACAGUGAUCCGCCUUCUUGGGGCAAAAAUAAAUCUGGAAUACAAGAUGAUGGAGCGGUAAAGACCCAAUGGGAGUCUGGGAGUUCUCAAAAGUGGAAAACUGAUG
rnacentral:lncRNA from 1 species